UUGAAAGCCACCGAUUCAUAUUCUGUACCUACUCUCUUUACCUAUAUGCCGAAAAUCUCAAAUUCUUCAGAUCACCCCUGUUUCCCCUUGGCCUCUUCCCUCUUUCCGACGAUUGCAACAACAGAACAUCAACAACAAUCUUCAAUAAUCACGUCUGGUGCUCCGGUGACUGGUAACCCCACUUUUAAUCAGGUCGGUGAUAUGGAGGCAGAUCGGGUCGUCGGUUCUACAUCAAUACCCCUGUAUUUGGAAUCCUUCUAAUUCGAUCAAUAAUACUUGAAUUUCGUUCCAGAAUCCAGAUUAUGACUAUCAUCUUCUACAUUUCAAGGUAUCUUAAACCUGCAACUUUAGUUUGCUUCACACCAUUCACAGUGAUAUCUUGAAUUCACAAUAAUUUAUUGGGAUUGAAUUGAAUUGAUAUCAUAUUCUUCAUUUUGCUAUUGUUA